CACGCCGCGUGAGUGAUGAAGGUUUUCGGAUCGUAAAGCUCUGUUGUUAGGGAAGAACAAGUGCCGUUCAAAUAGGGCGGCACCUUGACGGUACCUAACCAGAAAGCCACGGCUAACUACGUGCCAGCAGCCGCGGUAAUACGUAGGUGGCAAGCGUUGUCCGGAAUUAUUGGGCGUAAAGGGCUCGCAGGCGGUUUCUUAAGUCUGAUGUGAAAGCCCCCGGCUCAACCGGGGAGGGUCAUUGGAAACUGGGGAACUUGAGUGCAGAAAAGGAGAGUGGAAUUCCACGUGUAGCGGUGAAAUGCGUAAAGAUGUGGAGGAACACCAGUGGCGAAGGCGACUCUCUGGUCUGUAACUGACGCUGAGGAGCGAAAGCGUGGGGAGCGAACAGGAUUAGAUACCCUGGUAGUCCACGCCGUAAACGAUGAGUGCUAAGUGUUAGGGGGUUUCCGCCCCUUAGUGCUGCAGCUAACGCAUUAAGCACUCCGCC
rnacentral:rRNA from 1 species